AUGGGGUUCUAUAGGGCAAUAUGGGGCUCUAUGGGUCUCUAUAGGGCAAUAUGGGGCUCUGUGGAGCAAUAUGGGGCUCUAUAGGGCAAUAUAGGACUCUAUGGGGCAAUGUGGGGCUCUAUGGGGCGCUUAUGGGGCCGCUGCCCCCCAGCACCAUUGUGGUGGAGCUGGGCUGAAGAGCUAUGGGGCUCUGUGGGGCAGUAUGGGGUUCUAUAGGGCAAUAUGGGGUUCUGUGGGGCUCUAUGAGGUUCUAUGGGGCUCUAUAGGGCGAUAUGGGGCUCUAUAGGGCAAUAUGGGACUCUGUAGGGCAAUAUGGGUCUCUAUGGAGCAAUAUGGGGCUCUAUGGGGCGCUUAUGGGGCUGCUGCCCCCCAGGACCAUUGUGGUGGAGCUGGGCUGCAGGGCUAUGGGGCUUUAUGGGGCAAUAUGGGGCUCUAUAGGGCAAUAUGGGGCAAUAUGGGGCUCUGUGGGGCAAUAUGGGGCUCUAUAGGGCAAUAUGGGGCUCUGUGGGGCAAUAUGGGGCUCUAUGGGGCACUGUAGGGUAUGAUGGGUCUCUAUAGGGCAAUAUGGGGCUCUAUAGGGCAAUAUGGGGCUCUGUGGGGCAAUAUGGGGCUCUAUAGGGCAAUAUGGGGCUCUGUGGGGCAAUAUGGGGCUCUAUGGGGCACUGUAGGGUAUGAUGGGUCUCUAUAGGGCAAUAUGGGGCUCUAUAGGGCAAUAUGGGGCUCUGUGGGGCAAUAUGGGGCUCUAUAGGGCAAUAUGGGGCUCUGUGGGGCAAUAUGGGGCUCUGUAGGGCAAUAUGGGGUUCUGUGGGGCAAUAUGGGGCUCUAUGGGGCGCUUAUGGGGCCGCUGCCCCCCAGCACCAUCGUGGUGGAGCCGGGCUGCGUGGCAGAGCUGACCCCAGAGGGGGACAUCCGCAUCGCCGUGGGGAGCACAGCCCCACACGUUGUGGGGCCGGACCUCGACCCCGUGCUGCUCUCCCUGUUCUCCCACCGCUUCAUGAGCAUCGCAGAGCAGAUGGGGCGCGUCCUGCAGCGCAGCGCCAUCUCCACCAACGUGAAGGAGCGCCUGGAUUUCUCCUGCGCCGUCUUCGCGGCCGGGGGGGAGCUGGUGUCCAACGCGCCCCACAUCCCCGUGCACCUGGGGGCCAUGCAGGACGCCGUGCAGUUCCAGGUCUGUGCCCCACUGCGGGACCCACGCGGCCCCGUUCACGGGCACUGCGCCCCACUGAGACCCACGGGGACACGUUGAGACCCAUAGAGAUGCACUGAGACCCAUAGAGAUGCAUUGAGACCCAUAGAGACCCGUAGAGACACAUUGAGACCCAUAGAGAUAUGUUAGACCCACUGAGACCCAUAGAGACGCAUUGAAACCCAUAGAGACACAUUGAGACCCAUAGAGAUGCAUAGGGACCCAUUGAGACCCAUAGGGACACACUGAGACCCAUAGAGCAACGUUGAGACCCAUAGAGACCCACUGAGACCCAUAGAGACCCAUAGAGACCCAUAGGGACACACUGAGAACCAUAGAGAUGCAUAGGGACCCAUUGAGACCCAUAGAGACGCACUGAGAGAUGCAUAGGGACCCAUAGACCCACUGAGACCCAUCGAGCAACGUUGAGACCCAUAGAGACCCACUGAGACCCAUAGAGACCCAUAGAGACACAUAGGGACACAUAGAGACCCACUGAGACCCACAGAGACACAUUGAGACCCAUAGAGAGAUGUUGAGACCCACUGAGACCCAUAGAGACACAAUGAGAGCCAUAGAGACACAUUGGGAGCCAUGGGGAUGCACAGUGCCCCACUGAGACCCAUAGAGACACAUUGGGACCCAUAGAGAUGCACUGAGACCCAUAGAGAUGCACUGAGACCCACUGAGACCCAUAGAGCAACGUUGAGACCCGUAUCUGGACCCAUAGAGACCCACUGAGACCCAUAGAGAAGCACUGCACCCCACUGAGACCCAUAGGGACACAUUGAGACCCAGUGAGACACAGUGAGACCCAUAGAGAUGCACUGAGACCCAUAGAGACACAUCUGGACCCAUAGAGACCCACUGAGACCCAUAGGGACCCACUGAGACCCACUGAGACCCAUAGAGACACAUUGGGACCCAUAGAGAGGCACUGAGACCCAUAGAGAUGCAUAGGGACCCAUUGAGACCCAUAGAGAGGCACUGAGACCCAUAGA
ensembl:lncRNA